GUGGGGAAUUUUGGACAAUGGGCGCAAGCCUGAUCCAGCAAUGCCGCGUGCAGGAAGAAGGCCUUCGGGUUGUAAACUGCUUUUGUACGGAACGAAACGGCUCUGGUUAAUACCCGGGGCUAAUGACGGUACCGUAAGAAUAAGCACCGGCUAACUACGUGCCAGCAGCCGCGGUAAUACGUAGGGUGCAAGCGUUAAUCGGAAUUACUGGGCGUAAAGCGUGCGCAGGCGGUUUUGUAAGACAGGCGUGAAAUCCCCGGGCUCAACCUGGGAAUGGCGCUUGUGACUGCAAAGCUGGAGUGCGGCAGAGGGGGAUGGAAUUCCGCGUGUAGCAGUGAAAUGCGUAGAUAUGCGGAGGAACACCGAUGGCGAAGGCAAUCCCCUGGGCCUGCACUGACGCUCAUGCACGAAAGCGUGGGGAGCAAACAGGAUUAGAAACCCUGGUAGUCC
rnacentral:rRNA from 1 species